GCGGGAUUCGUAUAGUGGCUAUUAUGUAAGCUUCCCAUGCUUGAGAGACGGGUUCGAUUCCCGUAUCCCGCUCAA
rnacentral:tRNA from 2 species